GAUGAACGCUAGCUACAGGCUUAACACAUGCAAGUCGAGGGGCAGCAUUUUUAUAGCAAUAUAAAAGAUGGCGACCGGCGCACGGGUGAGUAACACGUAUCCAACCUGCCGAUAACUCGGGGAUAACCUUCGAAGAAGGCCUAAUACCGACUGGCAUAUCCCUUCCGCCUGGUGGGGAGUAUUAAAGAACUUCGGUUAUCGAUGGGGAUGCGUUUCAUUAGCUUGUUGGCGGGGUAACGGCCCACCAAGGCAUCGAUGGAUAGGGGUUCUGAGAGGAAGGUCCCCCCACAUUGGAACUGAGACACGGUCCAAACUCCUACGGGAGGCAGCAGUGAGGAAUAUUGGUCAAUGGGACGAGAGUCUGAACCAGCCAAGUAGCGUGAAGGGAUGAAGGGUCCUAUGGGAUU
rnacentral:rRNA from 1 species